UACGUUAUCCUGAAGUGUGUUUUAUAAGGCUGCCAGAUAUCCACCAUCCAUUUAUUUUGGCAUUCCAAUGCACAUAGGGUGGACAAACCUGCCUGGACCACAUGCUUUUCAGCUGGGUUUUGUCAUUUGGUUAUUUUGAAUAUUCUAUUUAGAUUAUUAUUUCUCUAUCAAGGAAAUCUACACACAUGUAGCUUUCCAAUAAACAUGACUUUAAUGUUUCUCUGUUGGAAUUAGAAGCUGCUAUAAUUCAAUUGUAUAUUACUAAGUGAAUCUACUAUACAAAUGCAUAUUAUAACUUUUGUCUGGUUUUUUAGUUGCACUGAACUUUUAAUGACAGGUGAGAUGCCUUUAGUGAGAGUAUAAUGCUUAUACAGAAGAAUGAAGUUUCCUAUUAGCAACUACAAACAAUUUUUUAUUUUAUAGUUGGACAAUCUGAAGUCAAGAAUUCAACUGAAGAAGCAAAAUGGAUUUGCUUGCAGUGAGACGAAGACGUGGAGGAAAUCCUGUGCUGAUGAGGUUGCCAUCUCCCUACAUGAGAAUGAGCCAGAGUAUGAACUAGACAGACUCCCAGAGGUGGUGAAAAAAGGGUUUCCUGCUAUUCCUGUUGUGAAAACCGACCCUUACAUUUUGUGCAGAACAACUUUUAACCUAAGGACCAGUCCCCGUCUUGCUGCCCAAAGCCAAAAAUUGUCACCCUGUUCCCAACUUUUACGAAAAGGCAGGUCAGAUAAUCUUGGGGAGAUCUGUAAACCGACAGCUGGUGGCAGCAAAUCACAAAAGGUAGAUGAUACUCAACAGUGCCAAGCAGAAACAGCUAUUGAACCCAUGGAAUCUAGUUCAAGAUCUCUUUGCAUAAAUGAGCAACCCACAAAAACUGUUGCUCAGACCUCUAGGGAGAAUAUUAACACUCACAAAGGCAGAUGUUCCUUGAGCACACAAACAUCACCUGAGCAAAAUGAAGAAGGCCAAAACUGCAUAAUACUGUAAAACUGAGUAGUAUAAGGCCCCUACCGUCAAUAAAACCCUAACCCUGCCUCUUGACCCCUUUACCCUGCCCCUUG